rnacentral:rRNA from 1 species
GCCUUAGUAACUGCGAGUGAAGCGGCAAAAGCUCAAAUUUGAAAUCUGGCGUCCUCGACGUCCGAGUUGUAAUUUGGAGGGAUAUCUUCGGGGAUGGCGCCGUCCUAAGUUCCUUGGAACAGGACGUCAUAGAGGGUGAGAAUCCCGUGCCUGGAUGGCUGUCCAUCUCCAUGUGAAGUGUCUCCGACGAGUCGAGUUGUUUGGGAAUGCAGCUCAAAAUGGGUGGUAAAUUUCAUCUAAAGCUAAAUAUUGGCGAGAGACCGAUAGCGCACAAGUAGAGUGAUCGAAAGAUGAAAAGCACUUUGAAAAGAGAGUUAAAAAGUACGUGAAAUUGUUGAAAGGGAAGCGCUUGCGACCAGACUCGAUCUUUGGUGAUCAGCCGGGCUUCUGUCCGGUGCACUUGCCACUGAUCGGGCCAGCAUCGGUUCCGAGGGCGGGAUAAAAGGUUGAGGAAUGUAGCUUCUCUCGGGGAGUGUUAUAGCCUCGAUCAUAAUGCCGCCAUUCGGGACCGAGGACCGCGCUUCGGCUAGGAUGCUGGCGUAAUGGUCUUAAGCGACCCGUCUUGAAACACGGACCAAGGAGUCUAACAUCUAUGCGAGUGUUCGGGUGGAAAACCCUUGCGCGUAAUGAAAGUGAACGGAGGUGUGAACCCGCAAGGGUGCAACAUCGACCGGUCCUGAUGUCUUCGGAAGGAUCUGAGUAAGAGCAUAGCUGUUGGGACCCGAAAGAUGGUGAACUAUGCCUGAAUAGGGUGAAGCCAGAGGAAACUCUGGUGGAGGCUCGCAGCGGUUCUGACGUGCAAAUCGAUCGUCAAAUUUGGGUAUAGGGGCGAAAGACUAAUCGAACCAUCUAGUAGCUGGUUCCUGCCGA